GGGCCGGUAGCUCAGUUGGAUAGAGCAGCGACCUUCUAAGUCGCUGGUCGCGAGUUCGACUCUCGCCCGGCUCA
rnacentral:tRNA from 1 species